rnacentral:lncRNA from 1 species
AUGGCCAGGUUCCCUCCUCAUUCCCUGACCCUUCCCCCAGGCAGGGGCUUAGGGCUCUUGGCUGGGGUUCUGCCUGCUUUGGACAGCACCCCACAGUUUGCCCAGAGGGUGCCCCACAUCCUGAGGGCAUGCAAUUUGUGGGUAAAGGUUGGACAACAAGGAGGAUGCCUUGGGGUGGGCUUACAAAUGUCAGCAGAGGGGGCACAGACGCCCCCAGAGAGAAGCCAACAUAGAGAAAGUGCAACAGGGGACUUGUGCCUGAUAGGCCAGGAGGAGUCCCGUGGAGACCCCAAGCUGCUUCCCCAACCCCACCAAAGCAGUGGCAGCGCCAAGAGACCAAGGCUGCCUAUGGGGCAAAGCGCCACUGCCCCGACUCAGGGAAACCCGUUCUGCGCGUCGCCUCCAGGUCGCAGCCAGCCUCUCAGCCGGAGGGUCUGCAAACCCAGCACCCAGGCACAUCGUGUUCCAAAGCAGUGUGGCCGCAGGCACCAUGGGCGACUCGGGCUUGGGCUUGGACUCGGAGCCCGCACCGCCCGCUGUCCACUCCAUACACUGCUGUCUCCCGCAGUUCUUUCUACCCCCGCUUGGGUGCUGGGGGCUGAAGAGCCGGGAGAGGACCCAAAUUCGGCGGCUCCCCAACCCCCUCACCCCGCCUGCCCACCACCAGGACCGGGGUCUCUGCCCGUGCACACCCACGACGGUCCCCGGGAGCACCCCGUUUUUCGGUGGCGUCGCGGGUCAAGCACCUCGGUGGGACUGAAGCAAGGACGAUGGUGGGGAGCGCGCAGGGCGCAGGGGGACCUGGUGGGUCGCUGCACCGGCCGCGAGCCGAAAGCAGGGGACGGAGCCGGGAGAGGACAGAGCUUCUCUCCCCAGCGCGCACGAAACCGCGCGUCCGCCUUCCCGUCUCCGGCGAAGGUCGGCCCAGCCGCCCACCGCGGUAGACCCGGCUCACAGGCCCAGCCUCCCGGGCGGAGCAGCGGACGGCGGCAGACAGAGGCUGGGUGCAGGCUUGUUCUGGGCGGGCAGUGCGCCUUCCUCGGAGACCCUCGCGGCAGCGUCCAGGCAGGCGCUGGAGGCUGCUCCCGGGGCCGUCAAUCCUGA